GGGGAGCCCCAACUGGUGUUGUGUAAGAUGUGAAGACCCUCAGCUUAACCUGUGUUUCAGAAGUCCAGGCCUAGGAUAGCAACAAGAUUUGCCAGCUGUUACCAUUCUACUGAGGGUGAGACUGCUUUAGGGUCUGCUGUGAGCUGCUGCAUCUCCAGCACUUCUGGUACAGACCUGUGAUGGCUGCUGCCCCGCGUCACCCGAAGCACAGCAGUGCUGCUUCACAUCCUGGGGAGCUCCCAUCUCUGGGGGCUCUGCUUUUGUCCAGGGCUCUUUUUUUUCUUUCAGGAGCAAUACGUGUCAGGGUAGAAAGAGAAGGAAUUACUUCUGCCCACUGGGGAAAUGUGGUACUAAUUAAGAAGUGCUUCUUCUAAGCCAUAGAUAUUAUUAUAUAAUGUUUGGAGUUAAAAACAAAUAUAAAUAUCAUAUUUAAAAAAAAAAAAACAAAAACACAACAACACACAGAUGCCUGCUUCCACUGAUAACGCUUCACUGCAGCCCUGUGAGGUCCGUGUUGUGCUCAGUGAUAACUUCCAGUGAACUUUCCCUGGUCUGUGUAACACAGUGUGCCGUGGGCACUUUGGGGAAAUAUUUUGGGUACAGAUCCAUAACAUGGUGGCAGUGCUGGAAGUGAUCUCCAGCCUGGAGAAAUACCCCAUUACCAAAGAGGCACUUGAGGAAACAAGGCUUGGGAGGCUUAUCAAUGAGGUGAGGAAGAAGACAUCCAAUGAGGAACUUGCCAAACGUGCCAAGAAAUUGUUGCGGAAUUGGCAAAAGUUGAUAGAACCUGUGACCCCGAGCGAGGCGGUGCCAAGAGGGCUGCAGAAUCCGCCCGGAUCGGCCAACGGCGGUGCUCACAACUGCAAACCAGAAGCGCCCCUUCCUGCCGUGGCUGGGUCAAAACCCAUCAGUGAAUUGAAAAGCAGGAACGAUAUCCAGAAACUGAAUUCUCCAAAACCAGAGAAAUUGGGAAAUCGGAAAAGGAAAGGUGAACAUAGGGAUGGGCAUCAGGGCCCUCCUCCCCCGAAAGUCUCCAAAGUUAGUCAUGAAAUAUUACAGAACUCUUCACCCCCUCCAACAAACGGAAUUGGAGGUAGUCCCAAGAAUUUUCCUAGUCCUGUAGAUGUAAAUCUACAUGCAGGGCCUGAAAGCAGCAGGACAGAACUUAGCGAAAACGAUAAACACAAUAAGAUCCCAGUAAAUGCUGUAAAACCUCACACCAGUUCUCCAGGACUCGUAAAACCUUCAAGCACUUCCUCCUUAUUAAAGACUGCAGUGCUUCAGCAGCAUGAUAAAUCGGAAGAAACCUCCGGGUCGCACCAACCCAAGAGUCCGCGCUGCUCCUCGUUUAGUCCCAGGAAUGUCAGGCACGACGCGUUUGCGCGGCAGCACACCACGUACUCACCAAAGGAUUCCAUGCCUAGUCCAUCUCAAAGGUCUCAGUUCUUAGACACUGCACAGGUGCCGUCACCGCCGCCAUCCUUGAUGCAACCAUCAACACCUCCGAUGCCAGCGAAAAGACUGGAGUUCUCUCAGCAGUCGGUAUCUGAGGUGUCCCAGCACUGGCAGGAGCAGCAGGCGCCUCCUGACAGCCAACACAGGCACACAGCAGGGACGCUUCCACAGCACACGUCUCCCGGUUGCAAAACCAGCUCCCACCCGGGGGAAUCUCUCGUGUCGCACGUCGGCUUUUCGCAGGACGCUUCGAAAAUGGACAGUGAUGAUGCUGCUUCAGGUUCAGAUAGCAAAAAGAAGAAAAGGUACCGACCUAGAGACUAUACAGUCAACUUGGAUGGGCACGUGACAGAAGGGGGUGUGAAACCUGUGAGAUUAAAAGAGAGAAAGCUCACUUUUGAUCCCAUGACAGGACAGAUAAAACCUUUAACACCGAAAGAUCCUUUGCAGGUAGAAAUCCCUGCGCUUACUGAACAGCACAGGACAGAAACGGAAAAGCAGGAGCAAAAACCCAACCUGCAAAGCCCCUUUGAACAAACGAACUGGAAAGAAUUGUCCAGAAACGAAAUAAUUCAGUCAUAUUUAAACAGACAGAGUAGCUUGCUGUCUUCAUCAGGAGUACAGACUCCAGGAGCUCACUACUUUAUGUCUGAAUAUUUAAAGCAGGAGGAAAGCACUAGAAAAGAGGCUAGAAAGACUCACGUUCUAGCUCCUAACAGCAAACCUACAGACUUGCCUGGGGUCACGAGGGAGGUCACGAGUGAUGAUCUCAACAGAAUACGUGAACAUAACUGGCCAGGCGUGAACGGUUGUUAUGAUACACAGGGUAACUGGUAUGAUUGGACACAGUGCAUAUCUUUAGAUCCACACGGGGAUGAUGGUAGAUUGAACAUCCUGCCUUACGUCUGCCUAGACUGAGUACAGGUUUGCUAAGAUGCUUUUACGUUUGCAGUUAGCAAGAAUGGCAGACACUAUGCCACUUAAAGAUGGAGAAAGCCUCCUGUCCUGGACAAAUAGGCCCAACGAGCAGAGGGUGAGAGGGAGCUGCUUCUGUACAGCUCUUCCCUUUAAAUUCUCCUUUUGUGAAAUGCUGCUACCAGUUUACUAACAAUUGCAAAGGAAGGCAUACGAAGGUUGAGAAAACUGAGUUCAAAACUCUAUAGCAAGCCAGCUAUAAAAAGUGUUAGUCCCCAAAAGCGAAGAUGAUUUCCAGCACUUUCUGAAUGCCGGAAUCUGACUACAGGCAGGUACAGAGAAAAUUGUGGAAGUUACCUUAACAAAAUAUGCAUCUAUUUAUUUGACUUGAUUUGGGUUUUUAUUUGGCAGUGAGAUAUUCAAGAGACGAUGUGCAAAAACUGUAGUUUUAUUUGUAUCGCAUCUCUGAACAUGAUUGUGUUUUUAAAGUCAUGUGGUACGGAGAUUGGGUUUUAAACAGCAGGUGUUGCACUGCAGGCUGGGAGACCAGCUUCAGCUCAACAUUCCAUGGGCAUCCACAUAUUUCAGUCUGGUUUCAGUUUAAAUCCAGUCUCUGAGAAAUGCUGCAAAAACAGAUGUUUAAUGACAUUUUGAUCCCACCACCACCAGCCAAAUAUUUUUCCUCCUUUUCCCUUCCUGCAAACUUCUAGGAAAAAAAAUAAAAAAAAAAAUCACCUUUUCUAGAACUUAAAUGUAACGAGGGUGCUACAAGUUCGUAACUGUACUGUGAGAGGGAAAAAGGAAGCCUGUUUGUAUGCUGGAAAUAUACUUGUUACCAUUCCUUUAGAUAUUGUUUGCCUUAUGGAUAUCCAUCAUAAACGCAAUUUGCAAAAACAAAGAGCCUUAGUGAAUGUACAGUACCUAGACUUCUGUGUUCCUGGGAUGCAGAAGGGAGCAACUUUGCUAUUUGGUCCUUUAAGUGGACACAUUGUGAUAUAAAUGUGGAAAUAAAAAAAAUUUGCACAAAGCAGUUUGUGAAUUAUUUAUACUGAACUAAUUUAUUUUUAAAAAUCUGCUCAAUUCAGACAAAGUAACAGAACCCAUCGGAGCCGUGCGGCGAGGCGCAGCCCAGCAGCAGUGCCAGGCGCUGCUGUCAGGGCGCAGAGAUGUCUUCCAAGUGUGUUGGUGGCGUUUGGUCACACAGUUGCUUACAUUUCUGCUGCAGUCGAUGGCCCGGAAGGUCGAGUGAUGUCCUGAGUCCCUUGGCUGCUCUCCAUAGCAAACCGGCCGUGCCGAUGCUCGCUUUGCUUGAGGGAGCUCCACGUGCUGGACGCGGCCCUUCCCCCGGUGCUGCAGGAUCUCCAGGGACAUCACGUGAUUUGCAGCGUGAGCUUUAACUCCCGUUUGUUUCUGCUGUGAGGGUCAGCUCGCUCGGAUGUGAUCUGGGGUGAGACGAGGCUCGACAAUCUUUAUUUCAGCAUGCUUCUAUAACCAGUUCUGUGAGCUCCAAAAAAUGUGAAUAAGUUUACAAGGUGAUUUUGUCAAUUUUGUAAACAAGUUCAAAUGAAGUUUACCAUGUGCAUA